rnacentral:tRNA from 1 species
CGCGGGAUGGAGCAGUCUGGUAGCUCGUCGGGCUCAUAACCCGAAGGUCGUUGGUUCAAAUCCAGUUCCCGCAA